GUGUCAGCCGCCGCGGUAAGACGGAGGGAGCAAGCGUUGUCCGGAUUUAUUGGGCGUAAAGCGCGCGUAGGUGGUCUGCUAAGUCGGCUGUGAAAUCGCUGGGCUCAACUCAGCAAUGCCAGUCGAUACUGGUGGACUAGAGUCCGGGAGAGGGAAGUGGAAUUGCUGGUGUAGCGGUGGAAUGCGUAGAGAUCAGCAAGAACACCCGUGGCGAAGGCGGCUUCCUGGACCGGCACUGACACUGAGGCGCGAAAGCUAGGGGAGCGAACGGGAUUAGAUACCCCGGUAGUCCUAGCUGUAAACGAUGGUCACUAGGUGUUGGGAGCAUCGACCCUCUCAGUGCCGAAGCUAACGCAUUAAGUGACCCGCCUGGGGAGUACGGCCGCAAGGUUGAAACUUAAAUGAAUUGACGGGG
rnacentral:rRNA from 1 species